rnacentral:rRNA from 1 species
GACGAACGCUGGCGGCGUGCUUAACACAUGCAAGUCGAACGGACAGGCCCUGCUUUUGUGGGGUGCUUGAGUGGCGAACGGGUGAGUAACACGUGAGUAACCUGUCCUUGACAUUGUGAUAACUUCAGGAAACUGGGGCUAAUACCGGAUAGGAGCUCCUGCUGCAUGGUGGUGGUAGGAAAGUUUCGGCGGUUGGGGAUGUACUCGCGGCUUAUCAGCUUGUUGGUGGGGUAGUGGCUUACCAAGGCUUUGACGGGUAGCCGGCCUGAGAGGGUGACCGGCCACAUUGGGACUGAGAUACGGCCCAGACUCCUACGGGAGGCAGCAGUGGGGAAUAUUGCACAAUGGGCGGAAGCCAGAUGCAGCAACGCCGCGUGCGGGAUAACGGCCUUCGGGUUGUAAACCGAUUUCGCCUGUGACGAAGCGUGAGUGACGGUAAUGGGUAAAGAAGCACCGGCUAACUACGUG